rnacentral:ncRNA from 1 species
CCUCGGGGAGCCAAGACUGGCUGAGAUGCAUUAGCGUACCCGUAGAACCUGAACCGGCUAGAACCGGCGGAGGGAAGGUUUGG